UUAUAUUUCUAUGGGCUUGUUUUUUCAAAAAUGUUAGAUAAGCACAAAUCAUGUAACACACACAUAUACAUGUAUGUGUGUGACCUUUUUCCCAGCUGUACUAGGGAUUUGGCCUUCCACUGACCAAAAGCCCCAUACCUCAUGUGACCUUUUGCUGUUGGUGCUUUUACCUAAAUGUGGUGCCUUUGUGAUUCAUAUAAUUUGCCACACAUGUCAAAUGUUCAUUUGUUUUAUUGCUGAGUAUUACUCUAUUGUGUGGAUACACCAGAGUCCAUUCAUCUACUCUCCAUGUACAUAUAAAUUGUUUCUAAUUUAUUGGCUAGUAUUAAUCAAACUGCUGCAAUCACUGUUAUACACAGAUUUUUGUUUUUGUUUGUUGGUUGGUUUUUAGAAGUGCUGGGGAUUAAAUCCUGGACCUUACAUACACUAGGAAUAUGUUGUACUGAGCUACAUCCCCAGUCCCUGUAUAUAGGUUUCUGUGUAAACUUAAGUUUCUAUUUCUCUAGGAUAAAUGCCCAGGAGUAUGACUAAUGUGUCAUAUGGUACAUACUUUUUUUUUUUAAAUGGGUUCUCACUAUGUAGACCUGGCUGUCCUGGAACUUGCUAUGUAGAGCAGGCUGGCCUCAAAACCACAAGAUCCUUCCUCCUGGUCCUCCUGAGAGCUGAGAUUAAAGGUGUGAGCAUCACACUCAGCAGCAUACUUUUCUUAAGAAACUCCUACACCAAGUUAGGGAUGUAACUCGGUUGGUAGAGUGUUUGCCUAGCAUACACAAAGCCUUGGUUUGGUUUCCAUCCCAAGCACCUCAUAAAACCAGGCCUGGUGGCACGUGCCCUUAUUCCCAGCACUGAGCAGGUAGAGGCAGGAGGGGCAGAGGCUCAAUGCCAUUCUCAGCUACAUAGUGAACCCAAGGGCAUUCUGCGAUAUAUGAGAGCCCGUUAAAGAAAGGCGAGGGAGAGAGAGAGGGAGGGAGAAGGAAGAGGGAGGAAAAGAGAUGUUCCAGAGUGAUGCUCUAUUUCAAAAUAAUUCUAUUACAUGCAUUUCUUUAUUUGGGUGUGGGGGCGGGUACAAGCCCUUUCAGACGUUUGGACAUCAGAGGACAUCCUGCUGGAGUCGGUGCUCCCAGCCACCAUGUGGGAUUGAACGGAGGCCACAAUGCCUUUCCCCACUGAGAUCUCUCAUCCCUGGUCCUGUCAUUUCCCAUCCAGCAGCAAUGUUUGAGAAAUCCAGUCCUUCCCCAUCCUGGCUGGCAUUCUCAAGUGAGCGGUGUUGAUUUUGUGACAUUUCAUAAGUGAGUAUUAGUUCAGUUCUUUUCCUCUUAAAAACACUGGCUGUGGGGCGGGGCACUCACUCUCCCGACUCCUGCUUUCAUCCACGGGCUUGUGAAAGUGCACAGACACCUUUUGUUGAAAGAUUACCUUGCAGACAACUAUCGCUGGUAAGUUGGGAAGUCUCUUAAAAUGGUAUACUUCGUGUCUCAGCUUUUUUAAUUUCUUUAUCUGUGUGUGUCUGGUCGGGGGUACAGUCCAUGCCAUGUCACCUCUCUCUCGCACCUUCAUGUGGAUUCCAGGGAUGGAACUUGGGUCGCCAGGCCUGCGCAGCAUGCACCGGUGCCAACGGAACCACCUUGCUAGCCCUUACCUCGCCUGUUGAGAUGGCACCAGGAUCUCUUGUUAAAUGGACCGAUUACUCUUGAGAGGUGGCGACAGUGUCUCAUCCCAUCUGUGGAAGCUCCACUUCUCAAUCUGGUGCCGUUGGCUAAUUGGCACAAAGGAGCCAGAGGAUGCUCGGAAAAUAUGAGUACUUGUUGACUGACUACCUUUGAUUUAAAAAUAAAAAAUAAAAAUAGUGUUUCUGACAUGGACACCAAAGUUCCGUGGCUAGGAGACUAUCAUGGUUUGGAAAACUCAAGUUGUCUUGGUGAGGGCUCCUGCUGUCAUGAAACAUGGUGACCAAAUGCAACUUGAUGACAAAAUGGUUUCUAUUCUCUCACAGCUUGUAACCCAUCCUCUAGGGACGCUGGAGCAGAAACCUGAUGCAGAGGCCACGGAGGGGUGCUGCUUACUGGCUUGCUCCCCAUGCCUUGCUCAGCCUGCCCUCUUAAAACAACCAGGACCACCAGGCCAGAAGUGUCAUCAGCACAGUGAGCUGGGCCAUCCCACAUCAGUUACCAGUCAAGACCUCACCACGGGCUUGCCCACAGCUUCCAUGCACCCAGUAAAAAGAAUGCAGAGAAUGUCCAUCCAUCUGCUGCGGCUUCCCAUCACUGCCAUGGCAGGCUCACACAUGGAGAAGCACACAGGUUUCAGGCUGCAAGUCCACACUUUACCCCAUUCCUGACCUCUGUUCAAGCAGAAAGGAGGGAUAUAGCCACACAGCGUGAACACACUGAAACUGGAGACCACCCUCCACUUUUCUAAGGAUGCUUGGGUGAGGAUCAGGACUCACAUCUGGCAACCACGCAGCAGUAGGUCCUGGAUGCCUCCUAUGUGCUGGGGAAUGGACUAGUGUGAAGGAUAAUAAUUCCACUGAGAACUCUAGGCAUUUGUUCUUUGAUUCACAGAACAAUUUGUAAUUGAACGUCUGGUAAUUGAGGCUAGAAAUGCUAUAACAAAUAAGAACACUCCUACCACAAAGAGAAACAACCGUGCCCAGUUGGAGGAGUAAAGCAUGUGAUUCAGUUCAGGAAGUACUCUAACCCAGGGAUGAGCACAGGAUGCCGGGGGCGGAUACAGCCCAGCCCAGAGCCAGAACAGCUUCCCCAAGGUGACAUUGGAGCUGAGACCUGAAAGGGCGUGGUGCGUGGCAUUCUGGAGAGAAAGAAAAUGGCCUGAAUACAACCCUAUUGCCAGAAACAUGCACUGCAUUCGGGGGCCUGCAGAUUAUUCAGAAUCUAUUCAGGAAAUGGAAAAAGUUACAUAUAUAAUGCAAUUGAAAUGAUAGAAUAAGGAUUUAUUAUAUAUAACACUGUGUACAAUAGAUAACUAUUACGUCUAUAACAAUGUAUAUUUUAUAAUAUAUACAAUGACAACUUUUUCUUUUUUUCAAUAUCUAUAAUGCUAUAUACUAGCAUUACAAAUGUAUUCAUUGUAUAAUGUACAAUUAUGUAUCAUAUAAUACACUUAUGAUGUUAGUAUAUUAUACAAUAUAUAAAAUAUUUUUAUUUUUAAUUAACUUAAUUAAUAUUUUAUUGCUACAUAGUAAGAAUUUUAAGAUAUGUUUUAUUUAUAUGUACAUGUACAUGGUAUGUGUCAGCAGAGAGGACCAACAAGCACCAGUACACCUGAUGCUAAGUUAAAGCAACUGACAUGGUCUCACUGUGUAGCCCAGGCUGUCCUGGUAUGCUUGAUGUAGACCAGGCUGGCCUUGAACACACAGAGAUCGACCUGCCUCUCCCUCAUGAUCAGUAUGUUAAAGAAAGGAAGAGAAGGAAGCUGAAGCCCCAACAUUCCUUUUCCCCACCACGAUCCUGCUCUUUUUUUUUUUUUUUAAGAUGUAUUUAUUAUGUGUACAGUGUUCUGCCUGCGUGUAUGCCU